UGGGGAAUAUUGCACAAUGGACGGAAGUUUGAUGCAGCGACGCCGCGUGGAGGGUGUAGGCCUUCGGGUUGUGAACUCCUUUUUCUCGCGAAAAAGGCACAGUUUUGGCUGUGUUGAUGGUAGUGGGGGAAGAAGCGCCGGCUAACUACGUGCCAGCAGCCGCGGUAAUACGUAGGGCGCGAGCGUUGUCCGGAUUUAUUGGGCGUAAAGGGUGCGCAGGCGGCUUUACAAGUUGGAUGUGAAAUAUUGUGGCUCAACCACAAACGUGCAUCCAAAACUGCAAAGCUUGAGUUAAGGAGAGGUAAGUGGAAUUCCUGGUGUAGCGGUGGAAUGCGUAGAUAUCAGGAGGAAUACCGGUGGCGAAGGCGACUUACUGGACUUAAACUGACGCUCAGGCACGAAAGCGUGGGGAGCAAACAGG
rnacentral:rRNA from 1 species